UACGUAGGGGGCGAGCGUUGUUCGGAUUUACUGGGCGUAAAGAGCGCGUAGGUGGUUCGAUAAGUCAGAGGUGAAAUCCCUCGGCUCAACCGAGGACCCGCGUCUGAUACUGUCGAACUUGAGUGCAGGAGAGGAGAGCGGAAUUCCGAGUGUAGCGGUGAAAUGCGUAGAUAUUCGGAGGAACACCGGUGGCGAAGGCGGCUCUCUGGACUGUCACUGACACUGAGGCGCGAAAGCUAGGGGAG
rnacentral:rRNA from 1 species